rnacentral:rRNA from 1 species
UAAGGAAUAUUGCGCAAUGGACGAAAGUCUGACGCAGCGACGCCGCGUGGGGGAUGAAGGUCUUCGGAUUGUAAACCCCUUUCGGGAGGGAAGAUGGAGUGGGUAACCACUUGGACGGUACCUCCAGAAGCAGCCACGGCUAACUUCGUGCCAGCAGCCGCGGUAAUACGAAGGUGGCAAGCGUUGUUCGGAUUCACUGGGCGUACAGGGAGCGUAGGCGGUUGGGUAAGCCCUCCGUGAAAUCUCCGGGCCUAACCCGGAAAGUGCAGAGGGGACUGCUCAGCUAGAGGAUGGGAGAGGAGCGCGGAAUUCCCGGUGUAGCGGUGAAAUGCGUAGAGAUCGGGAGGAAGGCCGGUGGCGAAGGCGGCGCUCUGGAACAUUUCUGACGCUGAGGCUCGAAAGCGUGGGGAGCAAACAGGAUUAGAUACCCCCGUAGUCCCUGAGCGGGCUGGCAAGGCGCAU